GUUGAUUAAGGAUGCAUACUUAGUUUUCAUGCAUGAGUUUGAUGCUAGGAUAUAAAUGAGUUUCACCUAAUCGUUACAAGUUUAUAUUCAUAGGUAGUGAAGGUUGCUAGUCACAAUCGCGUUAAUUGAAUUCUUGGCAAACGUAUCAUGCAUUCAUAGUUACGAAUGCCUCGUUAACACUUAUGAAUUUCAUAGAACGUAAUGAUCUUUGAUUGUAUCUCUAUUAUGCAUUCAUGUAGAGGACUUUUGGAGAAUAAUGUGGAUUGUCGUAUGCAUUCAUCCAAUUCAAUAAAUCAAGGAAAAUCUGAGGAUUAAUUAGUGCAUCACGGUUAAUCUGGGGUGUUGAGUUUCAUAAUCUAUUGAAAAGAAAUUGGAAAUCGAUUCAUGUACAAGUGUGUCAUGUGUGAAGAAUGGAUCUCUAGCUAAUCCAUCAACCAUAUAUUUAGUUUUACUUUUUGUUGUUAUCUCAAUCACAACCAAAACCAAUACCCCCCAUUUACUUUCUUGUAUCAAAGUGUGUUUAAGUUUGUUUUGAACUCUUUGAGUCUAGUUUAGUGUUUUAAAGCCUACUUUUGUGUUUUAAGUUUCUUCUUAUAUUUUUGAGUCAAGUGAGAGGUUAUUAGCAAGCCCUCCUAAUCCCCGGUCCAGAACGAUCCCUACUUAUACAUAUACUACAAUUGUCAACAAGAGGGUUUAAUUUGUGUGUUUAGUUAUUUUACGCAUCAAAUUUUGGCGCCGUUGCCGGGGAUCGAACCCGGGUCACCCGCGUGACAGGCGGGGAUCGAACCCUUAAUUUGUGUGUUUUUCACAUGCAUCCCCGGCAACGGCGCCAAAAUUUGAUGCGAAAAUAAGUUAACACACAAAUUAAACCCUAUUUGUGACAAUUGUAGUAAUGAUGUAAGUAGGGAUCGUUCUAACCGGGGAUUAACUAGGGGUGCUAAACACUUGACUCAAAUAAAUAAAACUAACUUUUAAAACACUAAGACAAACCAAAAGACUCAAAACAAGUUCAAAAGACUCCAAAUACUUAAAAGUAUAAAAUAAGAUAGAUUUGAACGACUAAGACUUUAACAAAAUAUGGGGAGGGGGAAUUGAGUUGUUUUUGACGAGAUUAAAUUAAAUGGACAGAUUAUAAUUAAGGGCAAAAUGUAAAUAUGAAUGCGAUGAAAAAUAUGGAUGAUGGAAUAGCUUAAGGGGUUCUUCUCCACUUCUGUCACACUUGCAAUACAAGAUCGAUUCUCAGUUGGUCUUUCGAUAAAUUAUGAAACUCAACACCCUAGGUUAAUUAGGUCCGCUUAAAUUAACCGUCAAGUUCUCCUUAAGUUAAUGAAUUGGAUGGGUUUGCGCAACGCAAUUCACAACAUUCUCCAAAAGUCCUUUACGUGAAAAGCACAAUAAAGAUACAAUCAAAGAUCAUUAAGCAUCAUGAAACUAUAAGUGUUGACGAGGCAUUCGUUACUAUGAAAAGCAUGAAACUAGUGCCAAGAAUUCAUUUAACGCGAUUGUUUAUAAGCAACCUCCACUACUUGUGAAUAUAAGUUCAUAACGAUUAGGUGAAACUCACUUAUAUUCUAGCGUCAUAUUUAUGCAUGAAAAUUAAGCGUGCACUCUCAAUAAACAUACAUAAAUAAGUUAUCAAUCAAACGGUUAAACAAAUUGAAUCCACAACUUAUGAAAUUCCAACCAAAGGUAAUCAAUUCAUAUUGCAAGCAUAAACAUAGUUUCGAAUCACCCCCUAGCUAAAGGGGGGUUUAGUUCCUCAUACUUAUAAGACAAAGAGAAUUGAAUUUAAACAUUGAAAUCAAAGAAACACCUAAACAUUCCAACAACUCAAACUUGAAUUGUAUGAACGUUUAGACCCUCUUCUCUUCCUCUUUGUUGUAGCACAAGGUCUAAGGAAAUGUUUAGGGCUUUAGGUGUAUGUGGAAUGGAGUGGGGAAUGAUUGCAAUGAAGAGAAAAUAUGCAGAAAAUGGAAGAGAUAUGCACGGCAGAGAAUGGGAUUUUGUGAUGGUUUGUUGUGUGAUUGUUUUGUGGUGAAUUUCCUCCCUUGUAUGAAUGCAUUGCAUGGUUUUAUAGGGAGAGAAUGGAUGGGUGAGCAUGUUAAUGGCAGCUAGGAUGAAUGAUUUAAAGGGGUUGCUAGGUUGGAAAUGAUUAAAGAGUGAGGGGAUGCAUGUGAAAAACAGCUAGGAAAAAUUGGUGGAAUGCUGGAAUUGUUAAGGGAUGCACGGCAAUGGGGGGUUAGGUGUGCAUGUGGCUGAUUUGUUUGUUGGGAAAGCUUGUGAGUGAAUGAUUAAAGAUGCAUGUGGAUGAAUUAUACAAUGGGAAAGUAUGUGAUUGACAACUAGGGUGAAUGGUGGCUGCAAUGAUGAAGUGUGAUGGCUAAAAAUGGCAAGGGAAGGCACGGCAAUGGGUGGUUUGGUGUGGCUGUUUUGUGUUGUGAAUUAUGAUGAAUGCAUGUGGAUUAAAGAAGAAUAUGGAAGUGAAUAAAUCAUAAUAGGGCUGCAAGUUUAAAGGGCUAGGGUUUAAGUACAUAAAAUGGGCCUAAAAUAGGGUGGUUUGCAUGGCAAGGAAAUGGUGUUAUAUGGUUAAGCCCAUGGCAAGGUUGUGUAAUUGGGUUAGGGCCAUUGUUUUGUGUCCUCAAGUGCAUACAAGGCCUUCAAAUUCAUCCAACAUUUUGGCUCCAAGCCUAAGCUAUCCAUCCUUAGCCCAAUAGUGCUCCACAAAGGCCUCUAAAAGCACUUCUUUGCUCCUUAAGCCCUUAGAACCUGAAAACACACAAAAGAAGCAUAAAGGACUAAAAUAACUAAAGAAACAUAACGUAAAAGUACGAGAACAAGCCAUUUAAGUCGCAUGAAUAUGCUCCUAUCAAAUUCCCCCACACUUAGCUUUUGCUAGUCCUCGAGCAAAACAGAAAAAUCAAAACAAAACAAAACGAAACAAAACAAACUAAAGACAAUCUUAAACCUUCCAACGUUGCCUCAGGGAUUUCCAAUGCACAUGACAUGCAAAAGAUCAUCAUAACCACAUAUUUUGGCCUUCCUUACCCUUGAGCACAUACUUAAUCAUAGUCACCACAUACUAGUUCACAUAUAACCAAUUAAAACUAUGUUUUGAAUGUAGUAACAUGCCUUAGAGAAUUUGCUCAAUUCCUUACAAGAUACACUCUUAUUUUCACUCUGAAUUUCUGACUACACACCCUACACUAGGUGUAUGUGAGAAGAUUGAUGUAAACAUGAAAACGAACACUCACAUAUGUUUAAAGCAAAGAAAGCAAUUUCUGGAGUUAUUAAGCAUGUAUAGAUAUGAUCUCAUGACUGGAAUGCUACUACUUAGAUGCGAGAACCAGGGACACCAUAUGCUCGUACCAAUCCCAAACUCCACAUAUUGAAACACAUAACACUCAAGAUUGAAGUUAAGGGUUGUAACGGGGUUAGGGGUGAUUGGCUAACAAUGAAAGGUAAGGAAACAAACGUUUUUAAAGCAUAAUAAGCAAAGUAAUGAAAUUGAUGCUUAGAAUUCCCUUUGAAUGCAGCAACUAACUUUAAACACAAUGGGGUUAUUCAUUCAACUUUUUAGGGCCGAUUUCAACUACAAACAACACUUGUGAGCCUUUCCUCACUUAUUUCAAACUCUUUUUCUUUUCUUUUUUUUUUCUUUUUCUUUUCCUUUUCUAACCCGUGCCUUAUUACUUUUUGGCACACAAAACACAAAAAUCUCAUUCCCCCACACUUGUUUUCUGCAUAAGGACAAUCAAAAGGAAUUCAUUUUAAGUCAUGCUUCAUUAUGCUUUAAAAACAAGGGUAUGGAUAGUCCUAAUCUAGGCUAGGUAAGGGAAAUGUGGUUUAACAAAGAAAACAGGCUAAACAAGGCUCAACGGGAUUAAACUUAAACAAAUAUGCACGGGAUAAGCUUUUUGGCUCUAGUUCACUACACAACUUCAUCUUGAAUAUGUGUUAUGCAAAUCAAUGUCAUGCUUUGAAUGAACGGGCAUAAGUUCUAGUAUUUGGAACUAAAUGAUGAAACGCCUUCUAAGUAGCAACCAAGCAAAGAAUGAUGAGAUCAUGCAACGACUUUAGAAAAAAAAAAUGCACAGAUUAAUAACUCUCCAAAGAACGUAUUAGGCUCAAGUCUCUCAAGGUUGUAGUGUUAGUUUAAGUUCCUUCCUUCAAGCAUGUUACAAAAACUGAAUUUUUUCUUUGUGAUUACAUGUGAAUUCGUAAACUAUAACUAUAACCAAGCAUAAAUCAAGAGCAUAUCAAACUUCCAUCCAUGUUUAUAACUUUCCUUAACAGUCAUGCAAUUAACAAACCAAAUCCUCAUUAUUGUGUUGGAAGGUACCCUAAGACACAAACAAACACACAAAAACAACUCUUUUUGGCUUUUUCAAAACAAUUUUUUCAAAUUUUCGGUUUUUUAUGUCAAAACAUACUAACAUGCUUAAAAACACAAAAAAAAAAACACUUAAAACAGCAAGAAACAACAUUGUAAGUGAUAGGUGAAUAAAAUCCCACGAAAAUCAUGCAACAGCAACUUGUUUUACCCCCCCACACUUAAAUCUAACAUUGUCCUCAAUGUUUCAAACAUAAACUCACACAAAAGCAAACAAACAAACAACGAGGAAACAUGAUAAACAUGGCAAAGUAAAAGCAACAGAGAGGAGGGUUAAAGAACGCAAACACCUGGUUUUGGAGUCGGAAAUUCCUAGGUCUUCUUUAUUUCCAUGGGUUGCCUCCAUCACUAAUGAGAACUCUAGGCAUGCCAAACCUAGCAAAGAUAUUAGUUUUCACAAAAUCUGCAACAACCUUUGAA
rnacentral:lncRNA from 1 species